AAAACCAUCCCACCCGGCGACUUCUUCAAUAAACGCCACUAGGUGAGUUUCAAAUCAGUGUUUUAAUUCCACUUUAAUCUUACAACUCAAAAUUACUUCCUCCCAAUUCUACAGAAACCCGCGAGUUGAGUUUGGUAGCGCGCCAACCAAGAGCGGGAGCACAGCCGAGAAAUAUCAAGGAAGAACCCACCCAGGUGAGGAUUUUAUCAUGAUUCGACUUGUCAAUUCCCCCUUUUCAUGUUACAACCAUUAAUCGAGAACUCUAAUUGAGAACCCCAAUUUUGCAGAAACCCCCAAUUUUUCAAGCUUUCCCCUAUCAUCCACAAUUCCUGAAGCUCAUACUCUCCCCUGUCGAGUUGCGCAGCUGCCUUCGCGACCAGUCCGCUGGCACUGGUUAGUCCUGACACUAUGAUCUUUUCUUAUUGAUUUCAUUGUUGGUUAGAAUUUUGUAAAAAUAUUUAUCUAUAUCUAUUUUUAACUGGGGUUAAUUGCCGCUGUUCAUAGACUGGAAUUUGAAGGUACCCCUUUUUUUGAUUUAAUGGGUGCUCUGUAUUGAAAGUGAUAGUUAGAGUAGAAAGCUUUAACAAAGGCUCGUUAUCAAUGUUAGAGGGUUGAGUUUCUUUGGUUUGCAUCUCUCUUGCAUCUACUUCCUGUUUUUUUAAUUACCCAAGAAUGUGUUUCUUUGGUUUGCAUCUCCCUUGCACAGGAGAAAUUGAGAAACUUUGCACGCAC
rnacentral:lncRNA from 1 species